rnacentral:rRNA from 1 species
UACGUAGGUGGCAAGCGUUGUCCGGAUUUACUGGGCGUAAAGAGCGCGCAGGCGGUCGUUCAAGUCGCGUGUGAAAGCCCCCGGCUCAACCGGGGAGGGUCACGCGAUACUGAUCGACUGGAAGGCAGGAGAGGGUAGUGGAAUUCCCGGUGUAGUGGUGAAAUGCGUAGAUAUCGGGAGGAACACCAGUGGCGAAGGCGACUACCUGGCCUGUUCUUGACGCUGAGGCGCGAAAGCUAGGGGAGCAAACGGG